AAUAACUUUGCAACGUUUUGUUCCGCCCGGCCUAUGGGAAAGCCCUUUCAGGCCGGCGGAUGAAAAGGGAAUCGGGUGGAAAUCCCGGACAGUCCCGCUGCUGUGAACUCAUUGUGCGGUUUGUUUCAAACCUCAAGCCACUUCCUUAUAUAUAAUUAAGGUGGGAAGGCCAACAAGCCGGAGUAAGUCAGAAGACCUGCAAAACGUAGUCAUGCCGG
rnacentral:ncRNA from 2 species